rnacentral:lncRNA from 1 species
GGCCAUCCACGCCCACCUAGCCGCCUACACAACCUCCCUUGUGACCCCCUGGCCGAACCCUAGCGCCUCCCCACUUCCCCUCCCCUCGCGCCGCUUUGCUCUCCCCCACAGCCACCCGACGCCAUCGCCACUGUGUCGUCGUCGCCGUCGCGGCCACCGACCUCCCCGGCACCCAGGAGUACAUCCAGGAGUUGCGCCGUCCUCGUGUGCAUCGAUUUCGGGCACCUGUUCGACAGGAGCCGCACCGCAUCACCACCCGCUCAUCUUCUUCAACCUCGGAACGCCUGACGCCUUCGUCAAAUCCAUCGCCGUCAAGCCCUUCCCGGCCUCUCCAAGCGCACCAUCUACCCCGUGGUGAGCAUCUCCCACGAUUCCCCCCUUUUCCCCUUCGAAUCGGUGUUGUAGACCCGCGCCCACCCGAGGCCGCCAUGGCCGGACCUCACCGUAGCCGCACCCGGGCUCCUGCAUGCGCCUGCCCCAGCCACCCCGCACGCCCACGGCCCCUGCAGCCACCCACAUGCCGUGCCUACUGGAUGCACGCGCCCGUAGUCGCCCCAUGCCCUGUCGCUUGCAGCUGCUCUUGCCGCUGUGCUGCUACUGCUGCUUCACGCCGCUACUGUCAACUGCCUGCUGUUGCGUUACGCAGCUGCCGCUUGCCCUGCGCCCUACCGCGCCUAUGCCGGACGCAGCCUUGCCGCGCCCGCCUGCGCCGCUUCCCGUCGCCGUCCUGAACCCCUGGCCGCUCCCGUGCGAGCUACUGGCCAUGGCUGGCCAUAGUCGCCGUGCGUUUGUGCGUGUGUGCACAGCCACAGUGAGGCCGGCUGGGCUCUGUCCACUAAGGCCGGCCCGUUCUAAUUAGCUAGUACUAAUUAGGUUAGUUAGGUGCUAAUUAGCCUAAUGGCCCAAUGACAGUGGGCCCCCAUCUAAAUAACCUUUUCUUUUAACUACUGUCAAUGACAUAUGGGACCCAUGACACUGUUCGCUUUUGACCGAGUCAACACUUUGACUGUUGACUUCUGAGUCAGCACCCCUCUGGCCCCACAUGUAAUAGACUUGGCCAGAGUAGUACUAGGUGACAUACGUGUUCUGUUUUUUUCUCGCAUUUAAUUUAAUUCCAGAAAUUUCAGAAUAUCAUUUAAAACAUUAAAAAUUAAUAUAAAAUGAUCUGUAACUCGGAUGAAAAAGUUUUAUAUAUGAAAGUUGCUCAGAAAAAUGAGACGAACCUGAAUACGCUACCCACAUACAUGUGAGAUGCCUCUAACUAUCUGAACAUGGAACUUUCCCCCUCCGGUCAUCUGUCUGACACAGGUCCGGAACCGAGAAACAUUCCUGGUUGAAUCCCCCCUUCACCUAUAUCGUGUAGCCAUACGUUAGGUCACACCCGACACCGCUUUUUGACAUGUUAUGCUUUGUGGUGAUAUGUUGCUUUAUAUUUACUAUUUCUUCCCCCUCUUCUCUCCGGUAGACCCUGAGACCGAUGCCGCCCCUGUGAUCGACUACGUCGACGACGACCCCUCCUUACCAGAGCAACCAGGCAAGCCCCCCCUUUGAUCAUCCCGAUAUCGCCCAUUCCGUUCUCUCAUGCUUGCAUUAGAUUUUGCUACUGUAAUUGAUUGCUCCUAUUCUGAUGCAUAGCCUGUUUAUUGUAACCUGCUGUUGUUACCUACCUACUUAUCCUAAACUGCUUAGUAUAGGUUGGUUAGUGAUCCAUCAGUGACCCCCCACCUUGUCCUUGUUGCCCCUGCUUCAUCAUCGAAGACCCGAUCAACGGGAUCGAAGACCAGGCCCCGACACCGCACAUCACUUUCCCCUUAGUUGCUCGACACUACUGUGUUACUAUCGAGUGUCGGGGGUGAGACCUCAUCAGCACUUCUGAUGUUACCCUGUAGUGUAGCUAUACGGUCGUGGUCAUCGAGGGUGAUUCCGCCUUAACCACUUCCGAUACGACUCUGUCGUGCAACCCCUCAAGUGUUAACUUCGAGGGUGACUCCUCUUACGUUCACCUUGAUGAUUACAUCGAGUGGAAUCCAUCAAGGGUGAUUCCUCAGGGUUUUCCUCUUGGUGUUAGACACACGGUUACUAUGGUUACUAUGACUUUACACUGAACCAUGUUACUAAAGACAGGUCGACCUUGAGGGGUACCCGCGCGAGCUUAAUUGCGAGUAAUGUGGAGUCGGGUUGACCUGGAAGGUGCCCGCGAGAUACUUACGAGGCGUGGCAGGGCAUUCUUAGCCCUUGUCGCAAGUACUCGAGACGGGGCGACGGGGUCACAUCGAUCAUGAGUCUUUGCUCGUUACCGCGCGUUCCUAAUCCACUACGGUUUGGAUAUUUGAUCCGAGGGGCCUCUGGCCUGAUAGCACUAACCAUCACGUGGGCAUUGUAUGGGCGUUCUGCGUCGUAUACAUCAGCCGAAGCUUAAUAGACGUCAGCGACUGAGCGGCGCGUGCCGGGUUGGACUGCGUAAGCUCCUGCCUUGUUGAAGGAGGUAGCUAGGUCUGCUCACCGGCUACCCACGCAACAUGUAGGAGUUCCCCGGGAGAUGGCCCAUGACCCCUGGGGGCAUAGGUUUAGUCCGGCGUGCUGACCUCUCUAUUAAGCCUAGGUCGGGUUGCGGCGUAUUGUUUGGCCGAGUCCGGGCAUGACCCAGGAAAGUGUGUCCGGUCGGAGUUAAUCGAGCGUGGUGGGUAAGUUGGUGCACCCCUGCAGGGAAGAAAACAUCUACCGAUAGCCUGUCCUACGGUAACGGACACUUGGAUUUGUAUCCCGAUAGAUACAACUAGAACUGGAUACUUGUGAUGAGAAAUGGAUUGUGAUGAGAAAUGGAUGGUGAUGAGAAAUGGAUAGUAUGGCUUUGGGAUUGCUUUCUCGCAGGGAGUCGAGAAAGGAUCUCUGGCCAAGGUUGAUAACACUACUGCUACUUUACUUUAUGCUACUCUACUCCCUCCUGUUGCUGCAAGAUGGUGGUUUCCAGAAGAUGCUAGUCUUCGAUAGGCUAGGCUUUCCCCUUCCCUUCUGGCAAUCUACAGUUUAGUCCAUAGAUACAACCCUUUCCUUUGAUAUAGAUGCAUACUAGUUUAGAUCUGAUGUAAGUCUUGCGAGUAUUUGGGAUGAGUACUCACGGUUGCUUUGCUACUUCUUUUCCCCCAUACCCGAUUGUUGCGACCAGAUGACGGAGCCCAGGAGCCAGACGACGCCACUGAUGACUACUACUACCCGGGGGAUGCCUAUUACUACGUGAAGACCGCCGAUGACUAGGAGUAGUUAGGAGGCUCCCAGGCAGGAGGCCUUGCCUUUUCGAUCAUUGUUGCUUUUGUGCUAGCCUUCUUAAGGCAAUCUUGUUUAACACAUGUCUGUACUCAGAUAUUGUUGCUUUCGCUGACUCUUGUGUAUUCGAGCUUAUGUAUUCGAGCCCUCGAGGCCCCUGGCUUGUAAUAUAAAGCUUGUAUUAUUUUAAUUUGUGUCUAGAGUUGUGUGGUGAUAUCUUCC